UUCCGUAGGUGAACCUGCGGAAGGAUCAUUCGCACAAAGAAUAUCUUUUACACCCGCCACGCACCACACAGUGCUUUCUGUUUUUAAUCAGGAUUUAUAUCCAACUCGUCGAUGUUGCGAUUCCAUUGCAAUGUAUGCGAUGUUAUCUAUCUCUUGCGACGACGAAUGCCUUGGCUCGAGGAUCGUUGAAGGACGCAGCGAGCUGUGCUAAACAUCUCGAAUUGCAGAUUUCCGAGAAAGAAAAGGAUUCUGAACGCACUUUGCGAAUUGACCUCGUGUCAGUUCACUUGAUUGGCGGUGACCGCAAUAUGCAGUCGCUCGAACUCCGAAGUUUGAGUGGUGUGCACGUGUUGUUGCAGAUUGUUGCACCGACAUGUUCGUAGAAUUCGACGCGCCUCUCGUUUUCGAGCAGCAUUAUGACUUCGUGUUAUGAUGUUCGAAAGCAGGGACCGUUUCUUGUUUGGUUUUCCAAACGAUUCUUUCGCACGCUCACGACCAGUCAAGGGAUUACCCGCUGAAUUUAAGCAUAUCAAUAAGCGGAGGAAAU
rnacentral:rRNA from 1 species